CCUUCUGGCGGGCGGUGCGUGGGGGCCGUGUGCCCGCCGGAUUGUUCCCGUUGCUUGUUCCCCGGUAUUGCAACCACGCAUCGUCCGCCACCUUC
rnacentral:antisense_RNA from 1 species